ACGCUGGCGGCGUGCCUAACACAUGCAAGUCGAGCGGCAGCGAGUUUUACACUGAAUUCUGGAAGCUUCUGGUUUGAAGAGAAGAUUUAUUCAAGAAUUUUGUGUAAAAUGUCGGCGAGCGGCGGACGGCUGAGUAACGCGUGGGAACGUACCCCAAAGUGAGGGAUAACGCAUCGAAAGGUGUGCUAAUACCGCAUAUGGUCUUCGGAUUAAAGCCUUCGGGCGCUUUGGGAACGGCCUGCGUAAGAUUAGAUAGUUGGUGGGGUAAUGGCCUACCAAGUCGACGAUCUUUAACUGGUUUGAGAGGAUGAUCAGUCAGACUGGAACUGAGACACGGUCCAGACUCCUACGGGAGGCAGCAGUGAGGAAUCUUCCACAAUGGGCGAAAGCCUGGUGGAGCAACGCCGCGUGCAGGAUGAAGGCCUUCGGGUUGUAAACUGCUUUUAUAAGUGAGGAUUAUGACAGUAACUUAUGAAUAAGGAUCGGCUAACUACGUGCCAGCAGCCGCGGUCAUACGUAGGAUCCGAGCGUUAUCCGGAGUGACUGGGCGUAAAGAGUUGCGUAGGUGGUUCGAUAAGCGAAUAGUGAAAUCUGGUGGCUCAACCAUUCAGACUAUUAUUCGAACUGUUGAACUCGAGAGCAGAAGAGGUAGCUGGAAUUUCUAGUGUAGGAGUGAAAUCCGUAGAUAUUAGAAGGAACACCGAUGGCGUAGGCAGGCUACUGGGCUGUUUCUGACACUGAGGCACGAAAGCGUGGGGAGCGAACCGGAUUAGAUACCCGGGUAGUCCACGCCGUAAACGAUGGAUACUAGCUGUUUGGGGGUAUCGACCCCCUGAGUAGCGAAGCUAACGCGUUAAGUAUCCCGCCUGUGGAGUACGAUCGCAGAUUAAACAUAAAGGAAUUGACGGGGACCCGCA
rnacentral:rRNA from 1 species